ACCCCUCUCACGGUUUCUUUCUUUUAACACUUGUGCUCAUGUAAGGGCAAGGCUCCCAUGUACGGCUGACGGUGGAUGCUGCGAAGGCCAUGGAAAUCUUGAGGAGAGUUUGUAGUGUUGUAGGCGCCUUGUGGGAUUCUUUUGGGUUCAUAGUUAUUGCAACUGUUUCCUCUUGUUCUCUGUUGAUUAUUUCUAGGUUAGGUUGCCGUUAUUGUUUUCCCCAGGUAUGAAUAACUUAUAAUAAUGAAUGCAUUGUCGUAUUUGAGACUGUCUUACGUGAA